GUGCUUGCUUCAGCAGCACAUAUACUAAAAUUGGAACUUUACAAAGGUGAUUAGCAUGUCCCUUGAACAAGGAUGACAAGGAUGACACACAAAUUCAUGAAGAAUUU